GACGAACGCUGGCGGCGUGCUUAACACAUGCAAGUCGAACGGAAAGGCCCUGCUUUUGUGGGGUGCUCGAGUGGCGAACGGGUGAGUAACACGUGAGUAACCUGCCCUUGACUUUGGGAUAACUUCAGGAAACUGGGGCUAAUACCGGAUAGGAGCUCCUGCUGCAUGGUGGGGGUUGGAAAGUUUCGGCGGUUGGGGAUGGACUCGCGGCUUAUCAGCUUGUUGGUGGGGUAGUGGCUUACCAAGGCUUUGACGGGUAGCCGGCCUGAGAGGGUGACCGGCCACAUUGGAACUGAGAUACGGCCCAGCCUCCUACGGGAGGCAGCAGUGGGGAAUAUUGCACAAUGGGCGGGAGGCAGAUGCAGCAACGCCGCGUGCGGGAUGACGGCCUUCGGGUUGUAAACCGCUUUCGCCUGUGACGAAGCGUGAGUGACGGUAAUGGGUAAAGAAGCACCGGCUAACUACGUG
rnacentral:rRNA from 1 species